ACGACGAGCACCUCGACCAACUGCUCAUCGCGGGGUUCAAGUCGCUGCGCCUCCUGAGCUGUACUCCUCUCUCUGCAGCAGGAAGGAAGGAGCCGUCUAGCGUUGUUCCUAGGCCCGACCCGAACGGAUGCAUGUCUAUUGGAACUGGAUUGAAUCGCUUCAAGAGACUAGCGGAUGAGACAAAACUUGAUCGAGCUCACCUGGCCGAAGAGACGCGGACAGGAGAGAGAUGCUCACAUAGGUGCUCGCCAAGGCCACCGCCACCGCCAACCACGUCACCUCCAUCGACGGGCUGGGGAAAACGAUCGGAGCAGAGCUGCUGCCCUAUUCACCACCCAUUCUGCCAUGCCUGUGAUCGACAACCAGGGGAGGUGCAUCGUCGGCAUCUCUAAAAGACGAGGCCAUGCCCUCCAACGAGGUCAGUGCUCCUCUUCCUCAUCAGCCCUACGUUUAAUUGCUAUUCAUACCUUACCCGCCUGCAAUUAUUUGGGAAAUUGAUUCGUGAUGAUAUACAAGUACAAUCUACAAUGAUAGGUCUUAUGAAAUUCAUGUGCUUUUUGAUGGAAGAAAACUUGCAUUUUGAAGGAAUUGUUUGAUAUCUACAAAUCUGGAAUUCAUUUGUAGAACUGUGUCUAAUCUAAAAGGAAUAUAUAGAUAACUUUCAGGGUUAGAGUACACUACAAUAUGUUUCUUGUUUGAUCUGUCAAAUGUUUAUGUAUACCAAAUUCAGUUAUGUGCAAUUUAGUGUAUCACUAGCUAUUAUUGUAGGAUGCUGACUCACAAAACGCAACCAAAUUCUGGUGACACCGGGGAAACACAAAUUAUAGAUCAGCUGGUCUCAGUAAUAGAGAAGAAUUAAGACAGUGAUCUUGCAAGAAUCACCCUGACUUCUAUUGGUACUUAUACAAUUCAUUUAAUUAUUAGUUAUGAAUGUUACUCGCAACCAUUCUUCUCUUGAAUGUAAUGAAGCAUGCUGAAUGCUGCUGCUGAUGAUCCAUUGAAUCCACAAUGGUGAGCAGAACGUGUAGUCGGGAUAUCCACAGUAUGUUAUUCUUGUGGUGAAGCGGGUCGGGAUAUCCGCAGUAUGUUAUUCUUGCGGUGAAGCGGGCCUAUUAAUUUGCCAAAGAGCAUUUUCUUGAAAAUGGACCAACUGUAGGUAUUCACGAAACUUGGACAAUUUUCUAUGAUGUAGAUUCUCUGCAUGUAUGUCCUUUUGGGAUCCGGUCAUGGAUGAGUGGAUGGGUUGGGUCAUAAUAAGCUGCUGGUUGUUUUAUUAUUCCCGAUUCCUCUCUUGGAUGGAUUCAGAUCAACAUUGGUUGCUGCUAUGUUUUAACAAAGUUAUCUUCCUAGAUUAGCUGUUAAGGGCAUGCCAUUUUCAUUAGAAAAUUGGUUGCACUGUAUUGUUGUUUAGUUCAUUUCAGGGGGAUGUACCAUAUGUAUUGUCUUUGUUUUAAGAACUGUUGAUAAUGUUUUUUUUUUGCCUGGUUUUAACAACUGAAUCACUUCUCUUUUUUCUGGGAAGUACUCGGUACUCGGUGUAAGUCUCAAGUUUCUCAGCUAGCAUUGCACAAUGAAUACAUUAGAUACAAAUCAUACAAUAUAUGUGCAUCUCAAAUGUUCAUUCUGGUUACAAAUGUAAUGUCACAGGCUGUAGUAGUACCGCUGUAUUAACAUCUUCCCAGUAGAUUAUAUUUUUAAUAUAGUUUCUGGUUAAUAUGUUUGUAUAUUCUGCUUGGAUGGUGCAAACAGAGAACAUCUAAAGUUUUUGUAUAUUCUUCUUUUACUAUGACCAUCUAUCCUUUCUUUAAGGACAUGGAGAAGGAAAUUAGAAGGAAGUGGACAUUGCAAUUGCCAAAGCAAAGAAAAGCCCAUUACCUGAUGCGUUCGAGCUGUACAAAUUGUGUAUGGGAACAACUGCUAUCUGGAGUGUUUUGAGGUGGAUGGGAAAGUGGUGAGGACCAAGGAGUCCUUCAUUGUAUUGUGCAUUUUCUAUCGCUAAAUAAGUUUGUAUACAGAGAUUCAUCAGGAUUCGGUGAAAAUAUUCACAAACACCUGUGACUGGGCAAAGUAAUUACGCUUAUACUAGGCAGGGAGAGACUAUGUACCAUUGUACCAGCCUAUUUUUUAUUUUCUUUUGAGAUAACGGGCAACCGAUAUUUUUACAACAUUAUGAUGUCCCCUAUCUUGUUAUGCAAACGAUUAGCUACAG